ACCGGCGUCAGCCACCAGCAGCUCACCCGGUUUUGAUAUAAGAUUUAGUGACAGUGAAAAAUCAUCUCCUCUCAUACAUUCAGAGGCAAAAAUUUCAAACUCACUUGAGGCUUCUCCUUCAUCAAUCUCAACUAGUACAGAUCUGCGCGAAGAAUUUUCUUCACCAUUUUCUGUUGGGUUAAGUAGCGACGCAAAUGGAUCCUUUCCUGAUUCAAAUUCUUCUGAACAUCUUUCGUGCAAUCUUUUGCCUCACGAUACGCCGUCAGCAUAUGUAUUAAGUAGAAGCCCAAAAAAAGUCAAGAGAGCUUUACAAUACGAUUCAACCGAUAGCAGUGAUUUACGCUGGGCCAUAUCAACCACCUGCUGCCAGAGGAAUCCGACAUGAUGACAACUAUCUUCAGUCGCUUUGUCCUGGCGUGUUGGUUGCAGUGUAUAUUAGUAAUUACAAAAAGAGACCGGUUAUUGGUAAUGUUUGUGAAGUUUUGAAUUCAAGUUGCAUUACUGGAAAGGUACAUAUACCGCGACCUGGCAACCCGUUAUGGUUACGAGCAAAUAUGGUGAAAUACCUUGGACAGACACUCUUCCAAGAGAUUCAGUAAUUCUCUGCUCGUUCUAACUUGACGAUAACAACCAUCUCCAAGAAAAUACCAGAAAAUAUUUAAAACGGUGGUAUCGGGAGGAAGCUAAAAGGGCUAGGGGUCUGGAUUAAUUUAAAAAAAUAUAUUUUCUACGCUUGUACCUAUAAUUAUACAGACGCAAGAUGCUAAAUUUUUAAGUGCAGAAGCAUUGGAGAAUAUUACCCUCAAUAUCAUUAUCGCAUGCUAACUAAAAUGUAUGCCAACAUUCAAAUGACUCAUUUAUCUUCAGGAAUUAUCACUGAUAUGAAUAAUAAACACUACCUAAGUAUGGACUGCAUUGUUAAGUGUUUUGAGUUUUUAUAAUAACCCAUUAACCCAUUGUAGAUACAGUGCACUAGCUACGUUACUCGGACACCCCUAUAUGUCUCUCACAUUGAGAUAUAGCUAGUGGUUUCCGAAAUUC